GACGAACGCUGGCGGCGUGCUUAACACAUGCAAGUCGAACGGUAAGGCCCUUCGGGGUACACGAGUGGCGAACGGGUGAGUAACACGUGGGUGAUCUGCCCUGCACUUCGGGAUAAGCCUGGGAAACUGGGUCUAAUACCGGAUAGGACUCCGGACUGCAUGGUCUGGGGUGGAAAGCUUUUGCGGUGUGGGAUGGGCCCGCGGCCUAUCAGCUUGUUGGUGGGGUGAUGGCCUACCAAGGCGACGACGGGUAGCCGGCCUGAGAGGGUGACCGGCCAGACUGGGACUGGGAUACGGCACAGACUCCUACGGGAGGCAGCAGUGGGGAAUAUUGCUCAAUGGGCGCAAGCCUGAUGCAGCGACGCCGCGUGAGGGAUGACGGCCUUCGGGUUGUAAACCUCUUUCAGCAUCGACGAAGCGAAAGUGACGGUAGGUGCAGAAGAAGGACCGGCCAACUACGUGCCAGCCGCCGCCGUAA
rnacentral:rRNA from 1 species